rnacentral:rRNA from 1 species
GACGAACGCUGGCGGCGUGCCUAAUACAUGCAAGUCGAACGAACCGCGACUAGGUGCUUGCACUUGGUCAAGGUGAGUGGCGAACGGGUGAGUAACACGUGGGUAACCUACCUCAUAGUGGGGGAUAACAGUCGGAAACGACUGCUAAUACCGCAUAGGACAUAGGAUCACAUGAUCCAGUGAGGAAAGGUGGCGCAAGCUAUCGCUAAGAGAUGGACCCGCGGUGCAUUAGCUAGUUGGUAGGGUAAAGGCCUACCAAGGCGAUGAUGCAUAGCCGACCUGAGAGGAUGAUCGGCCACAUUGGGACUGAGACACGGCCCAAACUCCUACGGGAGGCAGCAGUGGGGAAUCUUCCGCAAUGGACGCAAGUCUGACGGAGCAACGCCGCGUGAGUGAAGAAGGUCUUCGGAUCGUAAAGCUCUGUUGUUAGAGAAGAACAGCGCAUAGAGUAACUGUUAUGCGUGUGACGGUAUCUAACCAGAAAGCCACGGCUAACUACGUG